UACGUAGGGGGCAAGCGUUGUCCGGAAUCAUUGGGCGUAAAGAGCGUGUAGGCGGCCCGAUUAGUCCGCUGUGAAAGUCCAGGGCUCAACCCUGGAAUGCCGGUGGAUACUGUCGGGCUAGAGUCCGGAAGGGGCGAGUGGAAUUCCUGGUGUAGCGGUGAAAUGCGUAGAGAUGUGGAGGAACACCGAUGGCGAAGGCAGCCUUCUGGGCCAACACUGACGCUCAUGCACGAAAGCGUGGGGAGCAAACAGG
rnacentral:rRNA from 1 species